rnacentral:rRNA from 1 species
GUUGUAUAGUCAAGUAAUUAAGUGCAUGUGGUGGAUGCCUUGGCAGUCAGAGGCGAUGAAAGACGUGAUAGCCUGCGAAAAGCUCCGGGGAGGCGGCAAAUAUCCUUUGAUCCGGAGAUGUCUGAAUGGGGGAACCCACCUACUUUAAGGUAGGUAUUGCAACAUGAAUACAUAGUGUUGCAAGGCGAACGAGGGGAAGUGAAACAUCUCAGUACCCUUAGGAAAAGAAAUCAAUUGAGAUUCCCUCAGUAGCGGCGAGCGAACGGGGAUCAGCCCAUUAAGUUAUGUGUGUUUUAGUGGAACGCUCUGGGAAGUGCGAACGUAGAGGGUGAUAUUCCCGUACACGAAAGGGCACACAUAAUGAUGACGAGUAGGGCGAGGCACGUGAAACCUUGUCUGAAUAUGGGGGGACCAUCCUCCAAGGCUAAAUACUCCUGACUGACCGAUAGUGAACCAGUACCGUGAGGGAAAGGCGAAAAGAACCCCUGUGAGGGGAGUGAAAUAGAUCCUGAAACCGCAUGCAUACAAGCAGUGGGAGCACCUUCGUGGUGUGACUGCGUACCUUUUGUAUAAUGGGUCAGCGACUUAUAUUCAGUAGCGAGGUUAACCGUAUAGGGGAGCCGUAGAGAAAUCGAGUCUUAAUAGGGCGUUUAGUUGCUGGGUAUAGACCCGAAACCAGGCGAUCUAUCCAUGAGCAGGUUGAAGGUUGGGUAACACUAACUGGAGGACCGAACCCACUGUCGUUGAAAAGCCAGGGGAUGACUUGUGGAUAGGGGUGAAAGGCUAAUCAAGCCUGGUGAUAGCUGGUUCUCCCCGAAAGCUAUUUAGGUAGCGCCUCGGACGAAUACCAUAGGGGGUAGAGCACUGUUUCGGCUAGGGGGUCAUCCCGACUUACCAAACCGAUGCAAACUCCGAAUACCUAUGAGUACUAUCCGGGAGACAGACUGCGGGUGCUAACGUCCGUAGUCAAGAGGAAAACAAUCCAGACCGCCAGCUAAGGCCCCAAAAUCAUAGUUAAGUGGGAAACGAUGUGGGAAGGCAUAGACAGCUAGGAGGUUGGCUUAGAAGCAGCCACCCUUUAAAGAAAGCGUAAUAGCUCACUAGUCGAGUCGGCCUGCGCGGAAGAUGUAACGGGGCUAAAACUAUGUGCCGAAGCUGCGGAUGUAUACUUUGUAUACGUGGUAGGGGAGCGUUCUGUAAGCCGAUGAAGGUGUGUUGAGAAGCAUGCUGGAGGUAUCAGAAGUGCGAAUGCUGACGUGAGUAACGACAAAACGGGUGAAAAACCCGUUCGCCGAAAGACCAAGGGUUCCAGUCCAACGUUAAUCGGGGCUGGGUGAGUCGACCCCUAAGGCGAGGCCGAAAGGCGUAGUCGAUGGGAAAAUGGUUAAUAUUCCAUUACUUCUGUGUAAUGCGAUGAGAGGACGGAGAAGGCUAAAUCAGCCUGGCGUUGGUUGUCCAGGUGAAAGGAUGUAGGCAUGUAUCUUAGGCAAAUCCGGGGUACUCUAUGCUGAGAUCUGAUAGCAAGCUGUACUUGUGCAGCGAAGUGGUUGAUGCCAUGCUUCCAGGAAAAGUCUCUAAGCUUCAGUUACACAGGAAUCGUACCCGAAACCGACACAGGUGGUCAGGUCGAGUAGACCAAGGCGCUUGAGAGAACUCUGCUGAAGGAACUAGGCAAAAUGGUACCGUAACUUCGGGAGAAGGUACGCUGUUGUUGGUGAUGGAACUCGCUUCCUGAGCUGACGACAGCCGCAGAAACCAGGCCGCUGCAACUGUUUAUUAAAAACAUAGCACUCUGCAAACACGAAAGUGGACGUAUAGGGUGUGAUGCCUGCCCGGUGCUGGAAGGUUAAUUGAUGGGGUUAGCGUAAGCGAAGCUCUUGAUCGAAGCCCCAGUAAACGGCGGCCGUAACUAUAACGGUCCUAAGGUAGCGAAAUUCCUUGUCGGGUAAGUUCCGACCUGCACGAAUGGCAUAAUGAUGGCGGCGCUGUCUCCAGCAGAGGCUCAGUGAAAUCGAAAUCGCUGUGAAGAUGCAGUGUACCCGCGGCUAGACGGAAAGACCCCGUGAACCUUUACUGCAGCUUGACACUGAACUUUGACCUUACUUGUGUAGGAUAGGUGGGAGGCUUUGAAGCUGGAACGCUAGUUCCAGUGGAGCCGUCCUUGAAAUACCACCCUGGUAAUGUUGAGGUUCUAACUCUGUCCCGUGAUCCGGGACGAGGACCGUGUCUGGUGGGUAGUUUGACUGGGGCGGUCUCCUCCUAAAGAGUAACGGAGGAGUACGAAGGUGCGCUCAGCGUGGUCGGAAAUCACGCGUAGAGUAUAAAGGCAAAAGCGCGCUUAACUGCGAGACCCACAAGUCGAGCAGGUACGAAAGUAGGUCUUAGUGAUCCGGUGGUUCUGUAUGGAAGGGCCAUCGCUCAACGGAUAAAAGGUACUCUGGGGAUAACAGGCUGAUACCGCCCAAGAGUUCAUAUCGACGGCGGUGUUUGGCACCUCGAUGUCGGCUCAUCUCAUCCUGGGGCUGAAGCAGGUCCCAAGGGUAUGGCUGUUCGCCAUUUAAAGAGGUACGCGAGCUGGGUUUAGAACGUCGUGAGACAGUUCGGUCCCUAUCUACCGUGGGCGCUGGAAAUUUGAGAGGAUCUGCUCCUAGUACGAGAGGACCAGAGUGGACGAACCUCUGGUGUACCGGUUGUGACGCCAGUCGCAUCGCCGGGUAGCUAUGUUCGGAAGGGAUAACCGCUGAAAGCAUCUAAGCGGGAAGCCUACCUCAAGAUAAGAUUUCCCUAGGACUUUAUGUCCUCUAAAGAGCCGUUCGAGACUAGGACGUUGAUAGGUUGGAUGUGGAAGCAUAGUGAUAUGUGAAGCUGACCAAUACUAAUUGCUCGUGAGGCUUGACUAUACAACACCCAAGCAGUUG